rnacentral:rRNA from 1 species
GCAAGUCGAACGAGAAAGGGAUUGCUUGCAAUCCUGAGUAGAGUGGCGCACGGGUGAGUAACACGUAGAUAAUCUACCCUCAAGCCCGGGAUAACUAUUCGAAAGGAUAGCUAAUACCGGAUGAAGUGAUUUAGCAUAAGUUAAAUCAUGAAAGAUUGCCUCUUCUUGAAAGCAAUUGUUUGGGGAUGAGUCUGCGGACCAUUAGCUUGUUGGUGGGGUAAAGGCCUACCAAGGCUGCGAUGGUUAGCUGGUCUGAGAGGAUGAUC